GCGAAAGUGGCGGAACUGGCAGACGCGCUGGACUUAGGAUCCAGUGGGCAACCGUGGGGGUUCGAAUCCCCCCUUUCGCACCA
rnacentral:tRNA from 1 species